AAAAUGUCUGAACUCGGAAAAGCUUCUCGUGCGUCGCAAGUUCUCGUGCGCAAGAGUGGUGCUAAAAGCUUUGCAAAUCGCAGAGCUAUUUUGAAAAAACAAAAAGGUGAUUUCAGUGAAUUGGAGUUUUUUAAAAGUGUUUACAGCGAAGGAGAUGGAAGCUUCAAAGAGGGCACAACAUCUCGUCAGUUUGUGGAGGAUGCAAUCAAGAAGGUGCAAGAAAGCCUUGAUAAGUCCUCUUCUUGCAUUCCAAG